rnacentral:misc_RNA from 1 species
GAAAUGCGAUAAGUAGUGUGAAUUGCAGAAUUCAGUGAAUCAUCGAAUCUUUGAACGCACAUUGCGCCCUUUGGUAUUCCUUAGGGCAUGCCUGUUCGAGCGUCAUUUAAACCUUCAAGCUCAGCUUGGUGAUGGGUGACUGUCCCCUCCUUGCGGGGGGACUCGCCUCAAAAACAUUGGCGGCCGGUACAUUGGCUUCGAGCGCAGCAGAAACGCGGUCUCGAGCCCGGUGGAUCGGCUCCCACAAGCCUAUUCUUUUAUUUUGACCUCGGAUCAGGUAGGGAUACCCGCUGAACUUAAGC